rnacentral:rRNA from 1 species
UCUGGGAAACUGCCUGAUGGAGGGGGAUAACUGCUGGAAACGGUAGCUAAUACCGCAUAGCGUCGCAAGACCAAAGUGGGGGACCUUCGGGCCUCAUGCCAUCAGAUGUGCCCAGAUGAGAUUAGCUAGUAGGUGGGGUAACGGCUCACCUAGGCGACGAUCCCUAGCUGGUCUGAGAGGAUGACCAGCCACACUGGAACUGAGACACGGUCCAG